rnacentral:misc_RNA from 1 species
GAUGAAGAACGUAGCGAAAUGCGAUAAGUAAUGUGAAUUGCAGAAUUCAGUGAAUCAUCGAAUCUUUGAACGCACAUUGCGCCCGCCAGUAUUCUGGCGGGCAUGCCUGUUCGAGCGUCAUUACAACCCUCAGGCCCCCGGGCCUGGCGUUGGGGAUCGGCGGAGCCCCCCGUGGGCACACGCCGUCCCCCAAAUGCAGUGGCGGUCCCGCCGCAGCUUCCAUCGCGUAGUAGCUAACACCUCGCGACUGGAGAGCGGCGCGGCCACGCCGUAAAACACCCAGCUCUUCUGAAGUUGACCUCGAAUCAGGUAGGAAUACCCGCUGAACUUAAGCAUAUCAAUAAGCGGAGGA